rnacentral:rRNA from 1 species
GAUGAACGCUGGCGGCGUGCCUAAUACAUGCAAGUCGAGCGAACGGACGAGAAGCUUGCUUCUCUGAUGUUAGCGGCGGACGGGUGAGUAACACGUGGAUAACCUACCUAUAAGACUGGGAUAACUUCGGGAAACCGGAGCUAAUACCGGAUAAUAUUUUGAACCGCAUGGUUCAAAAGUGAAAGACGGUUUUGCUGUCACUUAUAGAUGGAUCCUGGCUGCUUUAGCUAGUUGGUAAGGUAACGGCUUACCAAGGCAACGAUGCAUAGCCGACCUGAGAGGGUGAUACGCCACAUAGGAACGGAGACACGGUCCAUACUCCUACGAGAGGCAGCAGUAGGGAAUCUUCCGCAAUGGGCGAAAGCCUGACGGAGCAACGCCGCGUGGGUGAUGAAGGUCUUCGGAUCGUAAAACACUGUUAUUAGGGAAGAACAUAUGUGUAAGUAACUGUGGACAUCUUGACGGUACCUAAUCAGAAAGCCACGGCUAACUACGUG